rnacentral:rRNA from 1 species
UACAGAGGUCUCAAGCGUUGUUCGGAUUCAUUGGGCGUAAAGGGUGCGUAGGUGGCAUGGUAAGUCGGGUGUGAAAUUUCGGAGCUUAACUCCGAUACUGCAUUCGAUACUGCCGUGCUUGAGGACUGGAGAGGAGACUGGAAUUUACGGUGUAGCAGUGAAAUGCGUAGAGAUCGUAAGGAAGACCAGUGGCGAAGGCGGGUCUCUGGACAGUUCCUGACACUGAGGCACGAAGGCCAGGGGAGCAAACGG